rnacentral:rRNA from 1 species
UGAGGGAAUAUUGGGUCAAUGGGGCGGGAGCCUGAACCAGCCAAGUCGCGUGAGGGAGGAAGGUCCUACGGAUUGUAAACCUCUUUAGCCGGGGAGCAACGUGCGCCACGUGUGGCGCAGUGAGAGUACCCGGAGAAUAAGCAUCGGCUAACUCCGUGCCAGCAGCCGCGGUAAUACGGAGGAUGCGAGCGUUAUCCGGAUUUAUUGGGUUUAAAGGGUGCGUAGGCGGCUUUGCAAGUCAGCGGUGAAAGGCCCGGGCUCAACCCGGAAAGUGCCGUUGAUACUGUGAGGCUGGAAUGCGGAUGCUGUGGGAGGAAUGAGUGGUGUAGCGGUGAAAUGCAUAGAUAUCACUCAGAACACCGAUUGCGAAGGCAUCUCACAAAUCCGCAAUUGACGCUGAGGCACGAAAGCGUGGGGAUCGAACAGGAUUAGAUACCCUGGUAGU